GACGAACCGUGCGAACGUUAUUCGGAAUCACUGGGCUUAAAGCGCGUGUAGGCGGGCCGCCCCGUCGGCUGCUGAAAUCCCCCGGCUCAACCGGGGAACGGGCACCGAUACGAGCGGCCUGGAGGGGGGUAGGGGGGUCUGGAACUUCCGGUGGAGCGGUGAAAUGCGUUGAGAUCGGAAGGAACGCCCGUGGCGAAAGCGAGGCCCUGGACCCUUACUGACGCUGAGACGCGAAAGCCAGGGGAGCGAACGGG
rnacentral:rRNA from 1 species